rnacentral:rRNA from 1 species
GAUGAACGCUGGCGGCAUGCCUAACACAUGCAAGUCGGACGGGAAGUGGUGUUUCCCGUGUCGGACGGGCGAGUAACGCGUAAGAACCUGCUCUUGGGAGGGGAACAACAGCUGGAAAACGCUGCUAAUACCCCGUAAGCUGAGGAGCCAAAGGAGGAAUGCGCUCGAGGGGGGGUGUGCGUCUGGUUAGCCAGGUGGUGAGGCAGUAGCUUACCAAGGCGAUGAACAGGAGACGUUCCGAGAGGAUGAUCGGCCACACUGGGACGGAGACACGGCGCGGGGACCUACGGGAGGCAGCAGUGAGGAUGAUUCCGCAAUGCGGGAAAGCCUGACGGGGCAAUGCGGCGUGGAGGUAGAAGGCCCACGGGUCGUGAACUGCUUUUCCCGGAGAAGAAGCAAUGACGGUAUCUGGAGAAUAAGCAUCGGCUAACUCUGUG